AAGCCCAACAGCUAGCUCAACAUACAAAAUGCAACAACCCCUUAUCAACUAAACCCUCACUACCCGUAAUCAUACUCAAACAAAACAUUUUCCCUCCUUAGUAUGGGCGACAGAAAAGGAUGUAUGAAGCGAUAGCAUAAGUACCGCAAGGGAACGCUGAAAGAAAGAUGAAACAGACUAGUAAAGCACCGCAAAGCAGAGAUUACCCCUCGUACCUUUUGCAUCAUGAUUUAGCAAGAAGCCGCCGAGCGAAAAGGAUUGUAGUCCGGCACCCCGAAACCAGGUGAGCUACUCCAGGACAGCCUUAAGGGCGAACCCGUCUCUGUGGCAAAAGAGUGGGAUGAUCCUUGAGUAGGGGUGACAGACCUACCGAACCCGGUUAUAGCUGGUUGCUCAGAAAAUGAAUAGCAGUUCAGCCUUUUGCCCGCCUUCCCCCCUCCCCGAGGCUCGCCGCAAGCGACCAAGGCCUGCAAAAGAGUUAGUCAAAGGGGGUACAGCCCCUUUGAAAAUGGAUACAACUUUCGAAGAAGGAUUAAGAUCAUACUACACCAGGGAUAGUGUUCUAGUUGGCCUAAAAGCAGCCACCCAAACGGAAAGCGUUAAAGCUCAUACACACCAGCCCCCGAUUAUUCGGACCAUAAAAUCUUACUCCCCUGUCUUAUACUGAGCCUUCCCAUCAUCACUAUGGGAGAGACGAUGCUAAUAUGAGUAAUAAGAGGGGCCCGCCCCUCUCCCUGCACAGGCGUAUAUCGGAACGAACCAACACCGACUUUUAACGGCCCCAAUGAACAGAGGGCACUGGAAAACAUGGCCUUCCCACUAGGAAAGCACCCAGACCCAACCGUUAAUCUUACACCAGAGUGCUACCCGGGAAAGACUAAAAGAGAAAGAAGGAACUCGGCA
rnacentral:rRNA from 1 species